UUGUGGCCAGGGAGAAAAUACGUAUGACUGGUUUAUGCCUUGCCACCCUGAAUUGUAAUGCUUUGUUUAUUAUGACUUUGGGCAUGUUUUAUUGGUGAGCAGAGAGGUCACAGCCUCACAUAGAGAACCUGUAUUUGUGCUUUAUGGGUUCUGGGAUUUGAAACCACAGGCAGUCACUGAACUUUGGGCUGCCUUAGGUAAUGGCGUGCUGUGACCAAGUGGCUGGACAGGAUCUCUGCUGUGCUCUACCUGAUGGGAUAGAAGUGUGACACUGGUCUGGGACCCAAGGCUUCUGACAGAAGAGGGAAAGAAAAGGGAGAAGACAGCUGAAGGUGAGCCAAAGGACAAGAUUGCCCUGCUGACCCUAUAGGGGCAGGUAUAUGUUCCUUCCGUGGCUUCUCGAGCUGUGGUCUGUGGAGUAGGAAUAGCGCAUGAGGUCAUUCCUGCUGAUACCCACAAUGAAACAUUAGAAAAGCAUACGCGACAAUUGGGCAAUGCUCGGAGAUGUGCACAGCGCAGGGGAUGACAAUUUGCUGACCUGGACAGGGACCAAGUGUGUGUGUCCUGGUUGGGUGGCUGCAUAACGCUGCCAGCAUGUAUAUAUUAUCCAUCUCUCCCCACCCUGGCCUAACCCAGAUGCUGCAUGACUGAUUGUACCCCAGAGAAGCUCCAGCCUCUUCAGGUAAUUCAAUUGCUGAGUCUCCAAAACCAAUGAAUUAAAAAAAAAAAAACAACAAAACAACCUCUGCAUUGGGCUCUGCUCCCCUUGUAAUUAGUAGCAGAGCAGGGAACGAAGUGGGGUGUGGCGGGUCCAUGUGUUCCCAAUCACAGCCCACACAAUGAAAAUGUUUUCUUUCUGGGACAAUCUGAAGAAA